GCAAGGUAAGGAGCUGGAUGGUAUUUUUUAAAAACCUGGUUCCUACAGCAGUAUGGUCUGACAUAUUUGUGUUCAUCACCAGCUCCAGCUCUUCAGACUGUUUGAUUUUGAGCAGAUUACUUAACCUUUCUAAGACUGACUGUCAUUAUUAGUCAUUAUUAGAUCAUAGGGUGUAUGUAAAGGUUGAAUAAGUUAGAACAUGUAAAUUGUUUACACACCAGCUGAGACAUGGUAAAUAUGAGGUCAUGAUAAAUGACCUUGAUAAACAUGAGGUCAUGUUAUUACCAUUGUUAUUUUUAUUAUGUAUUUAUUUUUUAUUUCAUCUUCACUUUGCCCUCAUUGUCUUUUCCUGUUUUGUUUUGUUUUCGUUAUUGUUAAUCCCUCGAGUCAAGUGAUCUGGGAUCAACAUCUCCUUUCUGGAAGCCCUGAACCCUGGAUCCUCUCUCUGUCCAUCUUCUCUCCUUCCUUCUCCAUCUUUUUUUUUCUUUUCUUUUCAUUACCCUCUCUCACCUGUAGUUAGCACCCCACCAUGGUAAGGCCCCAACAACUGGAUGAUGGGUAAUUUCAAAUAAUGGAGUCCUGGGUAUUAUCUGUUCCAUGCCAGGACCACGUAAAGCACAAUUUCUACAUAGAGUUCAGCUGGAAAUUCAUGUUAGCAUGCUCCACCAUGUAUAAGAGGAAAUGAGCAGAACAUAAAUUAUAGGUAAAAUGAAAUUUCUCACUUAGCUGUCAACAUUGAAGAGGCAUUUCUAUUUAACUUUGGUGAUGUUUCUCAGUUUCUCUGCAUUUCCAUAUUCACACUGCCAUACUUAAAGAUUCAUCUCUCACCCAAACUAGUGUGGUGUCAUCCCCAGUGUGGCCUCUCCCUUUUCUCUUUCAAACUUGCCUAUUUCAGUGCAGCUUUCACUGGGAUAUCAGAACAUUCUUCCUGUAAUGUCACGCUGAUCACUGUAUAAUCUUGUGUGGAAACCUUCACAGAUGUUCUGUUUUCUGAAUAACAAGUCUAUUAGGACACCUUUCAUUGCAAGGAACAAUAACAGACCUAUCCAAUUAAAAGAAUAAUGAGAAUAGAUUACUUCACUUACCAGAAAAAUCCAGAGGUGAUUUGGGGUUUGGGCACAAUUUGAAUAGAAUUUUAGCUCUGUCUCUCACUUGGUUCUUGUCCAAAUGUCAGUUUUGUUCUCUAACUGACUUCUAUUAUUUAGCAACAUGUUUAAAGCAGUCAGAGGUAUCCUAAAUCCACAUCACCAUCCCGCACAAGUCAAAUCAAGGAUUUCUUCCUAUCGCUCCAUCUUAAGCUGUGGACCCACCUCUGAAACAAUCACUGGCUUUAAAGAGAUGUCAUAAGCUGAUUUCCUUAGAUUUGAGUUUAAAGCAACCUCUGAGCUGAACGUUGUAGGAAGGUAUGUAGAGUGGCUACAGUCUGUUUAGGGAAAUCAGCACCAACCCCUGGCCAAACAGUGUGAACCAUUUGGAUGCAAUGAAAGGUUCAGUAGAUGCCAGGAAGGCAAGCAGCAAAGCUGCUCCCCAUCCCCUGAGGAUGUCAUUCAACAUGUGUCACUGUCUGGCUUCAAUUCACAAUUUCAACUUCCCAUCAUUCCUAUUCUUAUUUUACUCUUGUCAGACUGAAUUUAUUGCCCCAAAUUUCUAUCUACGCUUUUGCUCUAGAUUGAUUUUCCAUGUGGCAUGCCAAGCUCCUGCCCUUCUUGGCCACAGAGAACCUAGACCCACCUUGCAAGCUGUCUCCUUAUGAAUCCUAUGGUAUCUCCCCCUCCCUGACCCCUUGCUGCCACCGUUUAGCUGGAAUGAAGCUAAAUUUGUUAUCAUCCAAUUAGGAUUCUACCUGCUAGAGUAAUUCUUUCCUGAGCAGUAUCAAUGUCACAUGUAAUCCUGAGAAGCAAUUAAGUAUAUAAAAUCUGAUUCACAGAGAUCAGUAUAACAUUGGGCUGAAAGUGCGAGACUGUGGGGGAAGAACAUACUUUCAUCAAGUGAUGGAGAUGUAGAAGGACAUGGAGUCAAUUUGAAGAAGUUUCCAGUGACCAAAUCUGAUCCAAAGAAACCAGAGGCUGGAGAGACUGAGUAUUGGUCCAAGCUCUCAAGGUGAAGAGUGAGAACCAGGACAGAAGCCUUAGUAGUCCCCACCUCACGCUGUUCUGGGCAUUGUCAGAGCCCAAGACCUGGAGUUAGACGAGAGAGCAGUUCAAAUCCUGGUGACACACAUCCAAGCUGGGAAGCUAUGAGUUACUUUCUCUUUACUAAGUCUUUUUUUUUUUUUUUCACUAUAAAAAUGAGAAUGAUAAAACUAGUUACCUCAUAAUUGUAAUAUGGGGAUUCAAUAAAGUAAUGCGUGUUAAAUGUU